UACGUAGGGUGCAAGCGUUGUCCGGAAUUAUUGGGCGUAAAGAGCUCGUAGGCGGCUUGUCGCGUCGGCUGUGAAAACCUGGGGCUCAACCCCGGGCCUGCAGACGAUACGGGCAAGCUAGAAUUCGGUAGGGGAGACGUGGAAUUCCUGGUGUAGCGGUGAAAUGCGCAGAUAUCAGGAGGAACACCGGUGGCGAAGGCGGGUCUCUGGGCCGAUAUUGACGCUGAGGAGCGAAAGCGUGGGGAGCGAACAGG
rnacentral:rRNA from 1 species